rnacentral:tRNA from 13 species
GCGUCGGUGGUAUAACGGUUAGCAUAGCUGCCUUCCAAGCAGCUGACCCGGGCUCGACCCCCAGCCGACGCA